rnacentral:lncRNA from 1 species
AAAUUACCACAAACUGGGUUACUUAAAAAGACAAAGUUUAUUUUCUCACAGAUUUGAAGGUCAGAAGUCUGAAAUCAAAGUGGGAGCCAUCCUCCCUCCCCAAGGCCCUAGCUCCUAGUGACUCCUGGCAAUCCUUGGUGUUUCUUGGUUUAUUCUGCAUCACUCCAAUCUCUGCUUCCAUCUAACCAUGGCAUUCUUUCCUGUAUCUCUGUUUCCUCUGUGCCUGGGUAUCUCUGUGCCCAAAUCUCCCUGUCCUUUCUUUGAUAAGGGUUCCUAUCAUUGGGUUUCAUGCCCACCCUAAAACCAGGAUGAUUUUAUCUAAAAAUUUUUAAUAAAUUACUACACCUGCACAGAUCCAAUUUCCAAAUAAAGUAACAUACUGGGAGGACAAUAUUCAACCCGCUACUAUGAUCAUGAUGAUGUCACAAUCUUGCAUUAUUUCAUGCCUUAAAAGUUGUCAGACAGAUCAGUUGUAGAGGGGAAGACCUACUGGGGUGAUUGGCCAAAAAUGUGGAGACCUCAGGAUAUGGCACAGGAAGUGAUCUUGGUCCUUGCAUGACAUGGCAGACGGACCUGCAGCAGCCUCAUAGCCUUGCAUGGCUUACAGCAUCCCCUGGCUCUGAUAUGCAUGGGAACAGAAUCAGCAAGUUCUACCCUAAUAUCAAAACUGAAUCACCAGCUACUAGACUAGACCACAGAACAGGUCUCUAA